AACGAACGCUGGCGGCAUGCCUAACACAUGCAAGUCGAACGAGACCUUCGGGUCUAGUGGCGCACGGGUGCGUAACGCGUGGGAACCUGCCUUUAGGUUCGGAAUAACACAGAGAAAUUUGAGCUAAUACCGGAUGAUGUCUUCGGACCAAAGAUUUAUCGCCUUUAGAUGGGCCCGCGUUGGAUUAGCUAGUUGGUGGGGUAAAGGCCUACCAAGGCGACGAUCCAUAGCUGGUCUGAGAGGAUGAUCAGCCACACUGGGACUGAGACACGGCCCAGACUCCUACGGGAGGCAGCAGUGGGGAAUAUUGGACAAUGGGCGAAAGCCUGAUCCAGCAAUGCCGCGUGAGUGAUGAAGGCCUUAGGGUUGUAAAGCUCUUUUACCCGAGAUGAUAAUGACAGUAGCGGGAGAAUAAGCUCCGGCUAACUCCGUG
rnacentral:rRNA from 1 species